AACGCACCUUGCGCUCCUUGGUAUUCCGAGGAGCAUGCCUGUUUGAGUGUCAUUAAAUUCUCAACCUUUGUUAACUUUUUGGUUAGCAAAUGGCUUGGAUGUGGGGGUAUGCAGGUUUCUCUAUUGAAAUUAGCUCCCCUGAAAUACAUUAGCUGGUUGCCUUGUGUAAACUUGUCUAUUGGUGUGAUAAUUAUCUACGCUUUGUACUGUCUGUGGAAUAUCUAUGAGUCUAGCUUCUAACUGUCCUCUGGACAAUCUUUCAAUCUUUGACCUCAAAUCAGGUAGGACUACCCGCUGAACUUAA
rnacentral:rRNA from 1 species